rnacentral:rRNA from 1 species
CCUACGAGCUGCAGCAGUGGGGAAUAUUGCACAAUGGGGGAAACCCUGAUGCAGCGACGCCGCGUGCGUGAAGCAGUAUUUCGGUAUGUAAAGCUCUGUCAGCAGGGAAGAAAAUGACGGUAACUGACCAAGAAGCCCCGGCUAACUACGUGCCAGCAGCCGCGGUAAUACGUAGGGGGCAAGCGUUAUCCGGCUUUACUGGGUGUAAAGGGAGCGUAGACGGCAGGGCAAGGCUGGAGGGAAAGGCGGGGGCUCAACCCCCGGACUGCUCUGUAAACUGCCAGGCUGGAGUGCAGGAGAGGUAAGUGGAAUUCCUAGUGAAGCGGUGAAAUGCGUAGAUAUUAGGAGGAACACCAGUGGCGAAGGCGGCUUACUGGACUGUAACUGACGUUGAGGCUCGAAAGCGUGGGGAGCGAAAGGGAUUAGAUACCCGAGUAGUC